GGGGGCCCGCAAGCGGUGGAGCAUGUGGUUUAAUUCGAUGCAACGCGAAGAACCUUACCCACUCUUGACAUCCAGAGAAUUUAGCAGAGAUGCUUUAGUGCCUUCGGGAACCCUGAGACAGGUGCUGCAUGGCUGUCGUCAGCUCGUGUUGUGAAAUGUUGGGUUAAGUCCCGCAACGAGCGCAACCCUUAUCCUUUGUUGCCAGCACGUAAUGGUGGGAACUCAAAGGAGACUGCCGGUGAUAAACCGGAGGAAGGUGGGGAUGACGUCAAGUCAUCAUGGCCCUUACGAGUAGGGCUACACACGUGCUACAAUGGCGCAUACAAAGAGAAGCGACCUCGCGAGAGCAAGCGGACCUCAUAAAGUGCGUCGUACUCCGGAUUGGAGUCUGCAACUCGACUCCAUGAAGUCGGAAUCGCUAGUAAUCGUAAAUCAGAAUGUUACGGUGAAUACGUUCCCGGGCCUUGUACACACC
rnacentral:rRNA from 1 species